AGACCCGAAACCCGGUGAUCUAGCCAUGGGCAGGUUGAAGGUUGGGUAACACUAACUGGAGGACCGAACCGACUAAUGUUGAAAAAUUAGCGGAUGACCUGUGGCUGGGGGUGAAAGGCCAAUCAAACCGGGAGAUAGCUGGUUCUCCCCGAAAGCUAUUUAGGUAGCGCCUCGUGAAUUCAUCUCCGGGGGUAGAGCACUGUUUCGGCUAGGGGGCCAUCCCGGCUUACCAACCCGAUGCAAACUGCGAAUACCGGAGAAUGUUAUCACGGGAGACACACGGCGGGUGCUAACGUCCGUCGUGAAGAGGGAAACAACCCAGACCGCCAGCUAAGGUCCCAAAGUCAUGGUUAAGUGGGAAACGAUGUGGGAAGGCCCAGACAGCCAGGAUGUUGGCUUAGAAGCAGCCAUCAUUUAAAGAAAGCGUAAUAGCUCACUGGUCGAGUCGGCCUGCGCGGAAGAUGUAACGGGGCUAAACCAUGCACCGAAGCUGCGGCAGCGAACGUAUCACCCAAGACAACUUUACGGAGUUGACGAUUGACGGAGCGAAGCGACGUCAAAGCGUUCAUUAAAGUCGAGUUGGCUUAGGGAUACGUUCGUUGGGUAGGGGAGCGUUCUGUAAGCCUGUGAAGGUGUGUCGUGAGGCAUGCUGGAGGUAUCAGAAGUGCGAAUGCUGACAUAAGUAACGAUAAAGCGGGUGAAAAGCCCGCUCGCCGGAAGACCAA
rnacentral:rRNA from 2 species